rnacentral:lncRNA from 1 species
UACAAAUAUAUUAAGUUUUUUUUCCCAGUAACUCGUGAUAUAAAUAUAUUACAAGCUUAGAGUAACUUACCCAACACUGCUUGUGUCACGCAGGAAAUGUUUCAAGGAUGCCAUCCCGUACAUUUUCUUAACUCCAGGACACAAGGAGGGAAGGACACCUUAUUGACUGACAUUAGUGUGUCCCAAUACUAUAGGAGCAGUGAGCAAGUGAACAAGGGCAAAGAGGGGCGCCUUCAACAGCUCCUCUCAUACGCUGACAGAGUCUCUAACUGGAUCUCCAAGGAAAUUGUCAUCUGUGACUCUGUCAAGGUGAGAGCCUAUAGGUGACAAUGAUGAAAACCAGGGGUUGAAUGGGUAAGGGGGGCACUAGACUCCCUAGAGUUUGAAAACUCUUUAAUUCCUCAUUUCAGUUUCUAUUGAAAAUAUAUGAUAAUAGGUCAUGUUUCUGUGUGUCCAAGAAAAACAUGCAAAAUUUAUAAUGAAAUAAUUACAUUAUAGUGGUGGGACAAUACACUGAUUUCACAAGACAAUGUGGUACAUUUUAUACAAAGGACAAAAAAAAUAUAAUAAUUCAAUUUAUUAUUAUUAUUAUUAUUAUUAUUAUUAUUAUUAUUAUUAUUAUUAUUAUUAUUAUUAUUAUUAUUAUUAUAUAUAAAGUGCUACUGAAACUGCUACUGCUAGACUGACAUUUGAUGCCAAUCCAAACUCGAACCACACAUAUCAUGGCAUCCUGUGAAAAAAAAUUGCACACAGUAUAUGAACAAUUUAUGGUCUACACACAAACUUCCUCUGCUUACCUGUGGGGGCACCAACAUGCCUCUGUUGCAUCUACUAGACAGAAUCAACUACAGGGUAGAGGGAGUCAGCACAUCAGAAUCUAAAGAGAAAAACAUUGUCAAAGACACAAAUAUUUAAAAAUAUAUAUAUUUCUAUUAACCUGUCAGUGUUUUGACAGAGCUCAACUGGUUGACAUCCAGUUCAUUCAACAGGCCUGGCUUUGAUAUGUGGGUAGACACAGUGCUUCAUUUAGAAAUCAUCAGGUCUCAGAACACUGGUUGCGUGUUGUUCCGGCAGUAAGAGAGAGACAAAAAUGUCAUGGAAUACAUUUUGUAAAAGCGCCUUUCACUAACUAAAUGGGCCAAUAAUAUCACGUGAGCACAAACAACCAAUGACCCUGAAUGUUUAUUAAAAGAAUAAUGAAUCAGUGUUAAGGAAGCACAGACAAUCGCCCGUUACUGAGCACAUCUCUCUCACACUGAGUGACGGCUGUGAAAAUCUACCAUGUUUCAACAACUCAUCACAAAGGUACACCCAUAAGGCCAUAACUACUCUAAUGAAUCAGCAGCCCAGCAGAACAUGAAAAUAAAACAUGUGCUUACCUUUUAUUUGUCCA